rnacentral:rRNA from 1 species
UACAGGGGUCUCAACCGUUGUUCGGAUUCAUUGGGCGUAAAGGGUGCGUAGGCGGUCGCGCAAGUCGGAUGUGAAAUCUCGGGGCUCAACCCCGAAACUGCAUUCGAUACUGCGUGGCUAGAGUGCUGGAGGGGAGACUGGAAUUUACGGUGUAGCAGUGAAAUGCGUAGAUAUCGUAAGGAAGACCAGUGGCGAAGGCGAGUCUCUGGACAGCAACUGACGCUGAGGCACGAAGGCCAGGGGAGCAAACGGG